rnacentral:rRNA from 1 species
CCCUACGGGGUGCAGCAGGCGCGAAAACUUUACAAUGCUGGCAACAGCGAUAAGGGAACCUCGAGUGCCAGGUUACAAAUCUGGCUGUCGAGAUGCCUAAAAAGCAUUUCAUAGCAAGGGCCGGGCAAGACCGGUGCCAGCCGCCGCGGUAACACCGGCGGCUCGAGUGGUAACCGUUUACCGCGGC